rnacentral:rRNA from 1 species
GACGAACGCUGGCGGCGUGCUUAACACAUGCAAGUCGAACGGAAAGGCCCUGCUUUUGUGGGGUGCUCGAGUGGCGAACGGGUGAGUAACACGUGAGUAACCUGCCCUUGACUUUGGGAUAACUUCAGGAAACUGGGGCUAAUACCGGAUAGGAGCUCCUGCUGCAUGGUGGGGGUUGGAAAGUUUCGGCGGUUGGGGAUGGACUCGCGGCUUAUCAGCUAGUUGGUGGGGUAAAGGCCUACCAAGGCGACGAUCCGUAACUGGUCUGAGAGGAUGAUCAGUCACACUGGAACUGAGACACGGUCCAGACUCCUACGGGAGGCAGCAGUGGGGAAUAUUGGACAAAGGGCGAAAGCCUGAUCCAGCCAUGCCGCGUGUGUGAAGAAGGUCUUCGGAUUGUAAAGCACUUUAAGUUGGGAGGAAGGGCAGUAAGUUAAUACCUUGCUGUUUUGACGUUACCAACAGAAUAAGCACCGGCUAACUUCGUG